rnacentral:rRNA from 1 species
AUUGAACGCUGGCGGCAGGCCUAACACAUGCAAGUCGAGCGGAUGAAGGGAGCUUGCUCCUGGAUUCAGCGGCGGACGGGUGAGUAAUGCCUAGGAAUCUGCCUGGUAGUGGGGGAUAACGUCCGGAAACGGGCGCUAAUACCGCAUACGUCCUGAGGGAGAAAGUGGGGGAUCUUCGGACCUCACGCUAUCAGAUGAGCCUAGGUCGGAUUAGCUAGUUGGUGGGUAAAGGCCUACCAAGGCGACGAUCCGUAACUGGUCUGAGAGGAUGAUCAGUCACACUGGAACUGAGACACGGUCCAAACUCCUACGGGAGGCAGCAGUGGGGAAUAUUGGACAAUGGGCGAAAGCCUGAUCCAGCCAUGCCGCGUGUGUGAAGAAGGUCUUCGGAUUGUAAAGCACUUUAAGUUGGGAGGAAGGGCAGUAAGUUAAUACCUUGCUGUUUUGACGUUACCAACAGAAUAAGCACCGGCUAACUUCGUG